UCUUUUCCACUUCUACUGAAGCUAAAGUCUGCUGUGAACACUGAGUGAAGAGGUGGAGAAUCAGGGGUCCUAUUUAUGGCUUUCUAAGUCCAUAGAAAUAAUCACAGGGAAAUUUUGAAAGAGAUCUUUAACUACCUAACACUCCUCCUGAAAAGUAAUCUCCUGUCAAAUCCAGCUGUGCAAUGGGACAGCUAGUUACCUGAGGCUUUGUUACACUUUUUAAAGAAGCCAACAAAACAACUCCCGCUGGGAGAGGCGAUAUUUCCGGACUGCUAAUGUCACAGCGUGACCUGUUAAUAACCUGCAAGAGCCUUCCUCCACUCCGCUGCCUCCUGCUCCCCCAGGACCCGGCAGCUGCCGUCACAUGGAUCGAAUGCCUGCCUUCUAUGCGCUUCAUUGAGAAAAAUUCAAGCAUGUGGCCUGAGGUUCCCCUGAUGACUGUCUGGGGAUGAUGAUUUCUACCAUCUGUUCUGGCUGCCUGUGGCUCCCGGAAACACCGAGGUGUAUGUUGCUUCUGGCCAUAUGUGGGAUUCCUAAUGAAACCUCAGCUGCUGUCCAACUGUCUGUGAAUAUCAGAUGGGUUUGAAUUAUCUUCCGCCAAGAGGGGAGGGAGAAGCACUUUGUUUAACUCUUUAAUCUGAACCACUAGACAGCACAUGCAUAAUCACAGGGUACAAAGCCGCUGAAUUAUUAGCAUCUGCAUCACGGUGGCAGCUGUAGCGUUUGCACGUGUGCUGGGUCUGUCUCAUUCAAGAUGCCCAGGCUGGUUGUUUCCAGGCUAAAUAUAAAGCCUCGAGUGAAAUUCAUCUUACUUUAGCUCACUUGGAAGCCUUAUAAUUAUACCAGAGAUUUAUUUGAUCCCUUCACUUCUGACUUGUGUUAAAGACACAUUUCAGACAUAUAAAUUGUAUAUCAGUAUAUGAAAAAGGUUGCUUAUCAAAUGUUUUAAAUGCAGCUGAGGAAUUGCAGCAUUUCCAAAGUUAUUUAUUGAGAUAGAGGAAGUCAGGGCAAAUUGAUAUUAGUUUUGAUAUAUGAAAGAGACUUUUGUGCAAAAAACCUUUGUAAUGAAUAAACACAAAUCACUUCUCUUUCAGGA